GACGAACGCUGGCGGCGUGCUUAACACAUGCAAGUCGAACGGAGCGAAUGAAAGCUUGCUUUUAUGAGCUUAGUGGCAAACGGGUGAGUAACACGUAGACAACCUGCCGACAGGAUGGGGACAACAUUCCGAAAGGAAUGCUAAUACCGAAUGAGGUCAGAGGAGGGCAUCCUCCUCUGAUGAAAGAUGGCCUCUUUUUAUGCUAUCACCUGUUGAUGGGUCUGCGUCUGAUUAGCUGGUUGGUGAGGUAACGGCUCGCCAAGGCGACGAUCAGUAGCCGGUCUGAGAGGAUGAACGGCCACAUUGGGACUGAGACACGGCCCAGACUCCUACGGGAGGCAGCAGUGGGGAAUCUUCCGCAAUGGGCGCAAGCCUGACGGAGCAAACGCCCGCGUGAGUGAAAGAAAGGUCUUUC
rnacentral:rRNA from 1 species